GGGAAUGUGGCUCAGAGGUAGAGCAUUUGCCUAGCAUACACAAGGCCCUGGGUUUAAUCCCCAGCACCA
rnacentral:tRNA from 1 species